rnacentral:lncRNA from 1 species
UGGAUUGCCAUGAAAGAUGUCAAUGCAAAUAACCUAACAUAUUUGCAAGAUCCUCUGCUGGGACCCGUCAGGUAUCCUGCGCUUACUUAUUAUGGGUUUUCUUAUUAAUUCCUCAACAACUUGGAGAGUUGACGACACUUGAAGUCUUUGAUGUAUCCGAUAACCUGCUCACAGGGCCAAUACCACGAGGGAAACAAUUCAACACAUUUGGGAAGGGUUCAUUUGAUGGAAAUCCAGGAUUGUGUGGACAACCUUUGUCAAAACAAUGUGACAACUCUGCGACUUCACCACCAGAAGAAGACCCACAUUCAGAAUCUUUAUUUGCAUUUGGCUGGAAGACAGUUCUGAUUGGAUAUGCAAGUGGGACCGUCUUUGAUGUAUCCGAUAACCUGCUCACAGGGCCAAUACCACGAGGGAAACAAUUCAACACAUUUGGGAAGGGUUCAUUUGAUGGAAAUCC